AUAGGCUUUAGAGAGGUGCACUUCUCUUUUUCUCAUAAGCAAAAUCCAAAAUGUUGUACUUCAACUCAUAACACACACCAAUGAGAAGAAAUGAAGAAGAUCAACAGCAUGCAGUUUCAUGAUCAAGAGUUCCUCUUUGAGAGUGAUAUUGCCUCGACGUAUGUCUGGGCGAAGAUAGUUCAUCCAUCGGAGUCGACAACUUUUUCCGGUACGUUUCAAACCUAACAAAACAAUUUAUUUUAUAUCAUUAGGGUUACGAUGA